AUUGAACGCUGGCGGCAUGCCUUACACAUGCAAGUCGAACGGCAGCACGGGGCAACCUGGUGGCGAGUGGCGAACGGGUGAGUAAUGCAUCGGAACGUACCUUUCAGUGGGGGAUAACGUAGCGAAAGUUACGCUAAUACCGCAUAUUCUGUGAGCAGGAAGGCAGGGGAUCGCAAGACCUUGCGCUGAUUGAGCGGCCGAUGUCAGAUUAGCUAGUUGGUGAGGUAAAGGCUCACCAAGGCGACGAGCUGUAGCGGGUCUGAGAGGAUGAUCCGCCACACUGGAACUGAGACACGGUCCAGACUCCUACGGGAGGCAGCAGUGGGGAAUUUUGGACAAUGGGGGCAACCCUGAUCCAGCCAUGCCGCGUGAGUGAAGAAGGCCUUCGGGUUGUAAAGCUCUUUCGGCCGGGAAGAAAUCGCACGGGCUAAUACCCUGUGUGGAUGACGGUACCGGAAUAAGAAGCACCGGCUAACUACGUGCCAGCCGCCGCCGUAAAAC
rnacentral:rRNA from 1 species